UACGUAGGAGGGCAAGCGUUGUCGGAAUUACUGGGCGUAAAGGGCGCGUAGGCGGCCUUCUAAGUCGAACGUGAAAUCCCCGGGCUCAACCUGGGAACUGCAUUUGUGACUGUAGAGCUGGAGUGCGGCAGAGGGGGGAUGGAAUUCCGCGUGUAGCAGUGAAAUGCGUAGAUAUGCGGAGGAACACCGAUGGCGAAGGCAAUCCCCUGGGCCUGCACUGACGCUCCAUGCACGAAAGCGUGGGGAGCAAACAGG
rnacentral:rRNA from 1 species